UACGGAGGGUGCGAGCGUUGUUCGGAAUUACUGGGCGUAAAGCGCGUGUAGGCGGCUGGUUAAGUGUGAUGUGAAAUCUUCGGGCUCAACCCGAAAACUGCAUUGCAAACUGGCCUGGCUAGAGUGCAGGAGAGGGAAGCGGAAUUCCAGGUGUAGCGGUGAAAUGCGCAGAUAUCGGGAAGAACACCCGUGGCGAAGGCGGUUCUCUGGGACGGUACUGACGCUGAGACGCGAAAGCGUGGGGAGCGAACAGG
rnacentral:rRNA from 1 species